rnacentral:rRNA from 1 species
GUUGAAGAAAGUAAGGGCGUACAGUGAAUGCCUUGGCACUAAGAGCCGAUGGAGGACGGAAUUCGCCU